AUGAAUCCUAAUGUGCGCGUUACUCAUCCAUGUGCAGAGGGGAAUAGCAGGUUAUACGUCUCGGUGAGAGACUACUACUGUUACAUGCUCCAGACACGACCUGGGAUAUUCAAUCCCAUACUCUGUGGAGCACGAUUGCUCCAACAAUGGGGGGUGGACAUGUACAUCAAGAUUGAGAGUUGUAGGUUGAAAUGGUACAGGAAGAAUCAGACAAAGAUCUGUGCCGACCUGUAUAAAGGAGUUGUUGAUGCAAUUACAUCCGGGGAGACUCGCGCAAGCGCUAUUGGGGUAAGGAUAGUGCUCCCUGGAACAUACCCAGGUGGCGACCGCGACAUGAAGCGGAGGCAUAUGGAUGCCUUGGCAAUUGUCCAUACCUACGGGAAGCCUGACAUCUUCCUGACCAUGACCUGCAACCCUAACUGGGAAGAGAUAACGAAUGAGUUGUUUCCUGGUCAGACAGCGCAAGACCGGCCUGAUCUUGUUGCUCGUGUGUUCCAUGGCAAGCUAGAGGCUAUGAAAGAGAUGUUGUUCAAGAAGAAUAUCCUGGGUGUGGUUGUCGCACAUGUAUACGUAGUCGAGUUCCAGAAGAGGGGCCUCCCCACGCACACUUUUUGUUGA
rnacentral:rRNA from 1 species